CCAAAUAUCUGGUCUGCCCUUUGCUUGAAGAAAGUAUGCAGCCUAACAUAAAAAAAGAAAAAAGCAUAAGGCUGAUAAGCCUCAGGCGCUCCCCUGACUCACAAUCUAACAUGAUAGCAGGCUGUGUGUUACAAGGUCUUGUUGCAUUUUGUUCUCUAUUCAUUACUUUGUUCAUUGUUUCUUCCUAAUUUUUCUUUAACAUGCAUGCGAAUUGCAAUUAUAUUAACCACAAAGUCAAAGACACAUUUGUGAGUUUGUAACUAUAUUAG
rnacentral:lncRNA from 1 species